rnacentral:rRNA from 1 species
ACGGGGCGCAGCAGGCGCGAAACCUCCGCAAUGUGAGAAAUCGCGACGGGGGGAUCCCAAGUGCCAUUCUUAACGGGAUGGCUUUUCAUUAGUGUAAAAAGCUUUUGGAAUAAGAGCUGGGCAAGACCGGUGCCAGCCGCCGCGGUAACACCGGCAGCUCUAGUGGUAGCAAUUUUUAUUGGGCCUAAAGCGUCCGUAGCCGGUUUAAUAAGUCUCUGGUGAAAUCCUGUAGCUUAACUGUGGGAAUUGCUGGAGAUACUAUUAGACUUGAGACCGGGAGAGGUUAGAGGUACUCCCAGGG